GGGAAUGUGUGUGAACGUGGUAGAAGAGGCAGCCCACAACUUUAAGUCUGCGGUUGGGAGUAAACUUUCUAUUCAAGACACCCAGAAAGUAUGGCAUGCUGUUGGAACGUGGAUUGAACAAAACUUAAGUAAACACAAGGCGGUGUCCGUUCCCGGCCUUGGUACCUUUACCUUGUCAGAAUGGGCCCUGGACACCGGCCUAGGCAAACCCCUCAUCCUCAGCAGACCUGUGUUCUUCCUAUCAGAACAUC